AAGCCAUUGAAGACAGCCCCGUGGUCGCGAAUUUCAUUACCAUCCCUUCUGUGCACAUCCUCAUGUUGCUUCCGUGCGUCUGCAAUCCCUUACACCGGGAUGCCUGAAAAGCCUCACUUACCCUGAGGACGCACGGGAAUGAACACCACGCUCUGGUUUCUGUAUUUAUAGUCUGAGUGGUUACCACAUCAUAACAAAUUAAAACUUUCAACAACGGAUCUCUUGGUUCUCGCAUCGAUGAAGAACGCAGCGAAAUGCGAUAAGUAGUGUGAAUUGCAGAAUUCAGUGAAUCAUCGAAUCUUUGAACGCACAUUGCGCCUCCUGGUAUUCCGGGAGGCAUGCCUGUUCGAGCGUCAUUAAAAGCAGCCUCAAGCAUUGUUGCUUGGUCAUGGAGGAAGAUAGUUACUGUCCCCUCUGGAAUCUCUCAGUAGACAACUCCCAAUGAGCGUAGACGUAAUAUAAUUGAUAUUCGUUUAAUGCUCCCUGGGUUGCCAGGCUGUGUAGAGCUCCCCCCAGCAAGUACUUGGUACUUCAAAGCUUGACCUCGGAUCAGGUAGGGAUACCCGCUGAACUUAAGAUAUAGAAGGGGGG
rnacentral:rRNA from 1 species